rnacentral:rRNA from 1 species
UCGCGGGAAGAAGAAGGUAUAUGUAUCGUAAACUCUCUGUAAGAGAGUAAAGUGCACUACGUGUAGUGUAUGCAAGUACUUACGAAUAAGCAUCGGCUAAUUCCGUGCCAGCAGCCGCGGUAAUACGGAAGAUGCAAGUGUUAUCCGGAUUUAUUGGGUUUAAAGGGUGCGUAGGUGGUCUAAUAAGUCAGUGGUGAAAUCUCUUUGCUUAACAAGGAAAUUGCCAUUGAAACUGUUAGACUUGAGAAUGGACGAGGUAGGCGGAAUUCGUAGUGUAGCGGUGAAAUGCAUAGAUAUUACGAAGAACUCCAAUAGUGUAGACUGCUUACCAGACCAUAUCUGACACUAAGGCACGAAAGUGUGGGUAUCAAACAGGAUUAGAUACCCUGGUAGUCCACACAGUAAACGAUGAAUACUAACUGUUUGCGAUAUACAGCAAGUGGUCGAGCGAAAGCGUUAAGUAUUCCACCUGGGAAGUAUGCCGGCAACGGUGAAACUCAAAGGAAUUGACGGGGGCCCGCACAAGCGGAGGAACAUGUGGUUUAAUUCGAUAAUACGCGAGGAACCUUACCCGGGCUCGAACGAUAUUUGAAUACAUCCGAAAAGAUGUAGCUAGCAAUAGCAAAUACCGAGGUGCUGCAUGGUUGUCGUCAGCUCGUGCCGUGAGGUGUCGACUUAAGUGUCAUAACGAGCGCAACCCUUACCGAUAGUUACCAUCAGAUAAUGCUGGGGACUCUAUUGGGACUGCCACCGUAAGGUGUGAGGAAGGAGAGGAUGACGUCAAAUCAGCACGGCCCUUAUGUCCGGGGCGACACACGUGUUACAAUGGGAGAAACAAAGGGUCGCUACCUGGCAACAGGAUGCUAAUCUCGAAAAUCUCUCUCAGUUCGGAUUGGAGUCUGCAACUCGACUCCAUGAAGCUGGAUUCGCUAGUAAUCGCACAUCAGCCAUGGUGCGGUGAAUACGUUCCCGGGCCUUGUACACACCGCCCGUCAAGCCAUGGAAGCUGGAAGUACCUGAAGUAUGUAACUGAAAAGAGCGUCCUAAGGUAGU